rnacentral:rRNA from 1 species
GACGAACGCUGGCGGCGUGCUUAACACAUGCAAGUCGAACGGUAAGGCCCUUCGGGGUACACGAGUGGCGAACGGGUGAGUAACACGUGGGUGAUCUGCCCUGCACUUCGGGAUAAGCCUGGGAAACUGGGUCUAAUACCGGAUAGGACUCCGGACUGCAUGGUCUGGGGUGGAAAGCUUUUGCGGUGUGGGAUGGGCCCGCGGCCUAUCAGCUUGUUGGUGGGGUGAUGGCCUACCAAGGCGACGACGGGUAGCCGGCCUGAGAGGGUGACCGGCCACACUGGGACUGAGAUACGGCCCAGACUCAUAGGGGAGGCAGAAGUGGGGAAUAUUGCACAAGGGGCGCAAGCCUGAUGCAGCGACGCCGCGUGAGGGAUGACGGCCUUCGGGUUGUAAACCUCUUUCAGCAUCGACGAAGCGAAAGUGACGGUAGGUGCAGAAGAAGGACCGGCCAACUACGUGCCAGCAGCCGCCGUAA